GGUUACUGCUAUCGGUGUUCGCCUAAGCCAUGCGAGUCAUAUGUUCGUAAGAACAUGGCGUACUGCUCAGUAACACGUGGAUAACCUGCCCUUGGGUCCGGCAUAACCCCGGGAAACUGGGGAUAAUUCCGGAUAACGCACAUAUGCUGGAAUGCUUUAUGCGUAAAAUGGAUUCGUCUGCCCAAGGAUGGGUCUGCGGCCUAUCAGGUAGUAGUGGGUGUAAUGUACCUACUAGCCUACGACGGGUACGGGUUGUGAGAGCAAGAGCCCGGAGAUGGAUUCUGAGACAUGAAUCCAGGCCCUACGGGGCGCAGCAGGCGCGAAAACUUUACAAUGCGGGAAACCGUGAUAAGGGGACACCGAGUGCCAGCAUCCUAUGCUGGCUGUCCGGGUGUGUAAAAUACACCUGUUAGCAAGGGCCGGGCAAGACCGGUGCCAGCCGCCGCGGUAACACCGGCGGCCCGAGUGGUGAUCGUGAUUAUUGGGUCUAAAGGGUCCGUAGCCGGUUUGGUCAGUCCUCCGGGAAAUCUGACAGCUUAACUGUUAGGCUUUCGGAGGAUACUGCCAGACUUGGAACCGGGAGAGGUAAGAGGUACUACAGGGGUAGGAGUGAAAUCUUGUAAUCCCUGUGGGACCACCUGUGGCGAAGGCGUCUUACCAGAACGGGUUCGACGGUGAGGGACGAAAGCUGGGGGCACGAACCGGAUUAGAUACCCGGGUAGUCCCAGCCGUAAACGAUGCUCGCUAGGUGUCAGGCAUGGCGCGACCGUGUCUGGUGCCGCAGGGAAGCCGUGAAGCGAGCCACCUGGGAAGUACGGCCGCAAGGCUGAAACUUAA
rnacentral:rRNA from 1 species